AAAAAGGUUUAGAUUUCAUUUGGCUAAUAAAUCAAUAACCUAUGCAUUCUUGAUCAGCAAUAUGCAGAUAUAUGACUCUUUCUCAAACUGUGGUCCGCGGGCGCCCUCUAGCGGUCCGUGAGGUACUGCAUGUAAACAACCGUUUAUUUGCCGUUACGUUAGUAGCUCAAAGUGCUACGCUACAGUUAGCUUACCAAAGGAUUGUGUUUAUAAAAUAAUAAUGGAUACAUGGCUUAAAACCGGUCACUAAAAAGAAAACCUAAAGAUAGCGGUGGAAAAUUUCACAGGGUAGCAUCUGCCCAACUCUGACCUGGUUGUGAUGGCUGCCGGGACGUUCGCUUGAAGUCCGGCUCUCCUCCAGUGAAGGCCGGUGGCCACUCUUUGAAGGACUCUGCUCGCCAUGUUUCCCUGAAGGCAGUUAGAGUCGGAGGCUGAUGGAGGCGGCUGCAGCAGAGCCACAGUCCAGGCUGCUUACUGGGCAGCUGACCGGGCGACGUAACGCAGGAGAACAAUGUGGAGGAUGAUAAACGAGCUUACAAACA